GAUGAACGCUGGCGGCGUGCCUAAUACAUGCAAGUCGAGCGAACGGACGAGAAGCUUGCUUCUCUGAUGUUAGCGGCGGACGGGUGAGUAACACGUGGAUAACCUACCUAUAAGACUGGGAUAACUUCGGGAAACCGGAGCUAAUACCGGAUAAUAUUUUGAACCGCAUGGUUCAAAAGUGAAAGACGGUCUUGCUGUCACUUAUAUAUGGAUCCGCGCUGCAUUAGCUAGUUGGUAAGGUAACGGCUUACCAAGGCAACGAUGCAUAGCCGACCUGAGAGGGUGAUCGGCCACACUGGAACUGAGACACGGUCCAGACUCCUACGGGAGGCAGCAGUAGGGAAUCUUCCGCAAUGGGCGAAAGCCUGACGGAGCAACGCCGCGUGAGUGAUGAAGGUCUUCGGAUCGUAAAACUCUGUUAUUAGGGAAGAACAUAUGUGUAAGUAUCUGUGCACAUCUUGACGGUGCCUAAUCAGAAAGCCACGGCUAACUACGUG
rnacentral:rRNA from 1 species